rnacentral:rRNA from 1 species
UACGUAGGUGACAAGCGUUUGUCCGGAUUUACUGGGCGUAAAGAGCGCGCAGGCGGUCGAUCAAGUCGAGUGUGAAAGCCCCCGGCUCAACUGGGGAGGGUCAUUCGAUACUGAUCGACUCGAAGGCAGGAGAGGGUAGUGGAAUUCCCGGUGUAGUGGUGAAAUGCGUAGAUAUCGGGAGGAACACCAGUGGCGAAGGCGACUACCUGGCCUGUUCUUGACGCUGAGGCGCGAAAGCUAGGGGGAGCAAACAGG